rnacentral:rRNA from 1 species
CGCCUGUUUAACAAAAACAUGUCUUUUCGUUUUUUUUGGAAAGUCUGGCCUGCCCAGUGAAAUUAAAUUUAACGGCCGCGGUAUAUUGACCGUGCAAAGGUAGCAUAAUCAUUAGUCUUUUAAUAGGAGGCUGGUAUGAAAGGUUUAACGAAACAUAAACUGUCUUAUUUAUAAAUUUAUAAUUUAACUUUUAAGUUAAAAGGCUUAAAUAUUUUUGGAGGACGAGAAGACCCUAUAGAGCUUUACAUUAUAUUAUUUUUAAUAUUUCUUUGUUUAAUAAUUUAAUAUUAAUUUUAAUAUUGUUUUGUUGGGGUGACAAUAAAUAUAUAUUUAACUUUUAUCAUUUAAUUUACAUUAAUUUAUGAUUUAUUGGAUCCAAUAUUAUUGAUCAUUAGAUUAAGUUACCUUAGGGAUAACAGCG